AGAUUGAGGGCGUAAACACAAAAGAGGAGGUCGCAUGGUACUGCGGCAAGCGUAUGGCCUACAUUUACAAGGCUAAGGUCAAAAAGAACGGAUCACAUUACAGAUGCAUCUGUGGAAAGGUCAAUAGGCCGCACGGUAACAGUGGAAUUAUCCGAGCGAAGUUCAAGUCCAACUUGCCUCCAAAAUCCAUGGGUUCUAGGGUUAGGUUUUUCAUGUACCCGAGCAAUUUAUAAGUUCUUUUUGUAUGUGUAGAAGACAUGUUUAAGACUAACGAGGAUCAUGAGGAUUUGGGAGUUUUCGCCUACCUGGAGCUAGAUUGGUUUUUGUAUUCUGGAGCUACAAUAGCUAGCUUUGUUUCUGUUUGGCUUUCAGAAAGAAGAAUAGAGCAUGCAUUUAUGAUUAUGUUUUUGUUUACUUUUAGAUAUGGUGUUCUUCACCAUUUGCUUGCCAAUUGGCACAACGUGUGAUCAGAACUUGGUGGAACUAAAUCAUAUCCGACCUCAGCUCGCAAGU